rnacentral:rRNA from 2 species
UGACCCAGCAACGCCGCGUGGAGGAUGAAGGUCGUAAGAUUGUAAACUCCUGUUAGAGGGGACGAAUAGCACCGAUCGACUCGGUGUUUGACUGUACCCUCAGAGAAAGCCCCGGCUAACUACGUGCCAGCAGCCGCGGUAAUACGUAGGGGGCAAGCGUUGUCCGGAUUCACUGGGUGUAAAGGGCGCGCAGGCGGGUUAGCAAGUCAGAGGUGAAAUCCUACAGCUUAACUGUAGAACUGCCUUUGAAACUGUUAAUCUUGAGUGCGGAAGAGAGAGACGGAAUUCCAGGUGUAGCGGUGAAAUGCGUAGAUAUCUGGAAGAACACCAGUUGCGAAGGCGGUCUCUUGGUCCGUUACUGACGCUCAGGCGCGAAAGCGUGGGGAGCAAACAGGAUUAGAUACCCUGGUAGUCCACGCCCUAAACGAUGAAUACUAGGUGUUGGUCUCAUUGAGAUCAGUGCCGCAGCUAACGCAUUAAGUAUUCCACCUGGGGAGUACGAUCGCAAGGUUGAAACUCAAG